rnacentral:rRNA from 1 species
ACGAACGCUGGCGGCGUGCCUAACACAUGCAAGUCGAGGGAGAAAAGGGGCUUCGGCUCCUGAGUAAACCGGCGCACGGGUGAGUAACACGUAGGUAACGUACCCUAGAGUCCGGGAUAACCAGUCGAAAGAUUGGCUAAUACCGGAUACGACCACGAAAGCUCCGGCUUUUGUGGUGAAAGACGGCCUCUGUUUACAAGCUGUCACUCCUGGAUCGGCCUGCGCACCAUUAGCUAGUUGGUGAGGUAAUGGCUCACCAAGGCUGAGAUGGUUAGCUGGUCUGAGAGGAUGGCCAGCCACACUGGGACUGAGACACGGCCCAGACUCCUACGGGAGGCAGCAGUGGGGAAUAUUGCGCAAUGGGCGAAAGCCUGACGCAGCGACGCCGCGUGGGUGAUGAAGGCCUUCGGGUCGUAAAGCCCUGUCGGGAGGGAAGAAACAGUCCGGACCAAAUACGUCCGGACAUUGACGGUACCUCCUAAGGAAGCACCGGCUAACUCCGUGCCAGCAGCCGCGGUCA